GGGGGGGCUAUACAUGCAAGUCGAGCGGACUGAUGGGAGCUUGCUCCCAUCAGUCAGCGGCGGACGGGUGAGUAACACGUGGGUAACCUGCCUGUAAGACUGGGAUAACUCCGGGAAACCGGGGCUAAUACCGGAUAACUCAUUUCCUCGCAUGAGGAAAUGUUGAAAGAUGGCUUCUGGUAUCACUUACAGAUGGACCCGCGGCGCAUUAACUAAUUGGUGAGGGAACGGGUCACCAAGGGGACCAUGCGUAGCCCACCUGAGAGGGUGAUCGGCCACCCUGGGACUGAAACACGGGCCAAACUCCUACCGGAGGGAGCAGUAGGGAAUCUUCCGCAAUGGACGAAAGUCUGACGGAACAACCCCGCGUGAGUGAUGAAGGGUUUCGGAUCGUAAAACUCUGGUGGUAGGGAAAAACAAGUACCGUUCCAAUAAGGCGGGACCUUGACGGUACCUAACCAGAAAGCCACCGCUAACUACCUGCCAACAGCCGCGGUAAUACCUAAGGGGCAAGCGGUGGCCGGAAUUAUUGGGCGGAAAGCGCGCGCAGGUGGUUUCUUAAGUCUGAUGGGAAAGCCCACGGCUCAACCGUGGAGGGUCAUUGGAAACUGGGGAACUUGAUUGCAGAAGAAGAAAGUGGAAUUCCCAGUGGAACGGUGAAAUGCGUAGAUAUUUGGAGGAACACCAGUGGCGAAGGGGACUUUCUGGUCUGGAACUGACACUGAAGGGCGAAAGCGUGGGGAACAAACAGGAUUAGAUACCCUGGUAGUCCCCCCCGUAAACCAUGAAUGCUAAGUGGUAGAGGGUUUCCGCCCUUUAAUGCUGCAGCUAACGCAUUAAGCACUCCGCCUGGGGAAUACGGUCGCAGACUUGAAACUCAAAGGAAUUGGACCGGGGCCCCCACAAGCGGUGGAGCAUGUGGUUAAUUCGAAGCAACGCGGAAAACUUACCAGUCUUGACAUCUCUUGACAACCCUAGAGAUAGGGCUUCCCUUCGGGGAAAGAUGACAGUGUGCAUGAUGUCGUCAGCUCUGUCUGAAAUGGUGGUAGUCCGCACGAGCGCACUGAUCUAGUUGCCAGCAUUCAGUUGGACUUAAAUGACUGCGUGAACAAACCGUAAGUAAUGU
rnacentral:rRNA from 1 species